UGUAGAUUUUGCUCAAGCCUUUUAUCUUUGGAAAUCUCUAUUUCCUCAGAGAGCAGCCAUAAAAAGAAAAGGAUAAAGUGACAGUACUACCAAUGUCAAUACAAAACCCAUUUCAGAGACUGUUGUAGUCACAUUUUUUAGUUUACAACCGGAGUUCGAUCGAGAUAUAAAGUUUGAAUGUACGUUUAACGAGAUUUUUACAAUGCCAUACUGUUUUGAUGACUAUUGCUAUGUGAUGAAAUUUAAAUAAAACAAUUUAAUGUGUAUUGAUGUAAUCUUGCAAUGUUAAAGUUCUCUCGAAUGGAUUCAUCGUGAUACAAACAGUGGAACACGAAUAGUCUUCAAGCGGACAUCAGAAUAAUAGACAAUCCAAUUCUCUUCCUAUAACUUAAUCCUUCCUUAUUAUGGAAUAAUAUUGAACACAAAAUCUUCAAAAGUUACCAUCCGACUCAAUUGCUCUAAGUUAAUUGGUUUAAAUAUAAUUGCUUUAAAAUUGCGAAAUUCAAUUAGGAGGAAGUUUGCGGAGUUAUUCAACAUCGGAUCAUAAAAGUGGACGGCUAUGAAAAUUAUUUGUGCGAUUAUUUUAAUCGUGGGUUUUAUGAGCGUGGUGGCGCAGGUGCCAUACGACUAUAUACCGAUCGGCAGAAGUGCGAGGAGGGACGCACCACGGCCGCACCCGUCUGACAUCAACCUUAUUUACGAAAGACUUUUCCCUUCCCGACGCAAAUAUAUCACUUGAACUAG